AGAGUUUGAUCCUGGCUCAGAACAAACGCUGGCGGCGUGCUUAACACAUGCAAGUCGAACGUGAUUGGAAGCUUGCUUCCAUGAAAGUGGCGCACGGGUGAGUAACGCGUGGAUAACCUGCCCUGGUAUCCGGAAUAACAUCUCGAAAGGGGUGCUAAUACCGGAUAAGCCUACGGAGCCCUCGGUCUCUGCAGGAAAAGGUGGCCUCUAUUUAUAAGCUACCGUAUCAGGAUGGGUCCGCGUACCAUUAGCUAGUUGGUGGGGUAAUGGCCUACCAAGGCGACGAUGGUUAGCUGGUCUGAGAGGAUGAUCAGCCACACUGGAACUGAGACACGGUCCAGACUCCUACGGGAGGCAGCAGUGGGGAAUUUUGCGCAAUGGGGGAAACCCUGACGCAGCAACGCCGCGUGAGUGAUGAAGGCUUUCGGGUCGUAAAGCUCUGUCAGAGGGGAAGAACCGCCGGGUGGCUAAUACCUGCCUGGUCUGACGGUACCCUCAAAGGAAGCACCGGCUAACUCCGUGCCAGCAGCCGCGGUAA
rnacentral:rRNA from 1 species